UAUCAAUAAGCGGAGGAAAAGAAACUAANUAGGAUUCCUUUAGUAACGGCGANGUGAACCGGGAAGUGCCCAGCCCUGAAUCCUGCGUUCUUUUGGACGUUAGGAACUGUGGGGUUUGGGAGCACCUCUGCGGCGUUUGUGUGCUUGUCCAGGUUCUCCUGAUUGAGGCUUGACCCAUAGUGGGUGUAAGGCCUUCAUGACGAGCCACAUCGUCUCUGUGGUGUUCUUAGGAGUCGGGUUGUUUGAGAAUGCAGCCCAAAGCGGGUGGUAAACUCCACCUAAGGCUAAAUACAGACACGAGUCCGAUAGUAAACAAGUACCGUGAGGGAAAAUU
rnacentral:rRNA from 1 species